rnacentral:rRNA from 1 species
GAUGAACGCUGGCGGCGUGCCUAAUACAUGCAAGUCGAGCGAAGCGGGGACGGGUGAGUAACACGUGGAUAACCUCCUAUAAGGCUGGGAUAACUUCGGGAAACCGGUGCUAAACCGGCUACUUAUAGAUGGAUCCGGGCUGCAUUAGCUAGUUGGUAAGGUAACGGCUUACCAAGGCCACGAUGCAUAGCCGAUCUGAGAGGGUGAUCGGCCACACUGGAACUGAGACACGGUCCAGACUCCUACGGGAGGCAGCAGUAGGGAAUCUUCCGAAAUGGGCGAAAGCCUGACGGAGCAAUGCCGCGUGAGUGAUGAAGGUCUUCGGAUCGUAAAAUACUGUUAGGAGGGAAGCGGUACCUAAUCAGAAAGCCACGGCUAACUACGUGCCAGCAGCCGCGGUAAUAC